GCCACCGAGGAGCAGAUCUGUAGAUUUCCCAAGCAGAAUGGCUGUUUGUGCAUCAAUCUCUGGCGUUGUUGCGUUAUGAUCGGAAAAAGUGGCUGUGGUAUUCCUGCAGUUUGGAAAGUGAUCGAGGGUCUCUGGGCGGCUUUGUGGACGGACAACACAGUUUCCUGUCCCGGUGCCCGGGAGAAGGUGGCCGGCCCUGCUGCUGGCCCAGCGGCAUCUCCCCGACGUGAGAACCUACCUGAAGUAAAGACACGACCUCUUCCUCCAUGCGGAAGUCUGGAUGGUGGGCGACACCUUGCAUUGCCUCCGGUACCCACGCCGACGGGACCGUGACGUUGACACAGCCCAGAUGCUGCACCGUCCGUCCCCACCAGGGUUCUUCCGCCCCCUUCCCUGCUUACCCACACCCUCUCCUUAACUCUCAGCAAACACUCAUCUGUUCUCCAUUUCUGUAAUUUUGUCAUUUCACGAGUGUUCAGUAAUGGAAUCGCAGAGCAUGCGACCUUUGGGGUUGGAUGUCCUCAUUCGGCACCGUUCUCUCAAGGCCCGCCCAGGUCCCUGCACCUGCCAGCAGGGUUCUUUACCGCUGUGUAGUGUUCCAGGUGCGGAAGGCCUGUUUAACCAGCCACCUAUCGGAGGACAUCUGGGUUGUUUCCGGUUUGGGGCUACUUCAAAUUAACCUGCCACGAACAUUUGCUGGCUGGCCAUUCCUUUGGCCCGGGUCUCUGAGCGGCAGGACAGAGCAAGCACCGUGGUGCCUUCCUGCAGGCACAGAAUAUGCAGUGCCCCCAUACAUAAUUUAACAGGCUCUUUGGAGCCUGGGGACAAGGUAACGGGCUACCAGGAAAAGACCAUUUGGGCACCAGUUCCAGCGACCUUUAAAAAACCCGAAUGCUAUCAGGAGCAGAGGAUCUGGAAAGAGAAUAGACAUUGAUUAAUGGGAAUAGCAUCAUGUUCACCAUUAUUAGAAGGAAUCGCCAGACCAGUAUUUGUGCUGAAUUCAAGCAUUUUUCAAAUUCCCAUGUGAAAAAAAGUUCUGAUAGUUCUGUUCGCAGGGAAAAGAGCCCAGAAGCCCCCUUACUGCUCAUGAACCCAGA